rnacentral:tRNA from 1 species
GGAGAGAUGGCUCAGUGGUUAAGAGCACUGACUGCUCUUCCAGAGGUCCUGAGUUCAAUUCCCAGCAACUAUG